rnacentral:rRNA from 1 species
UGGGGAAUAUUGCACAAUGGGCGCAAGCCUGAUGCAGCAACGCCGCGUGAACGAUGAAGGUCUUCGGAUCGUAAAGUUCUUUUGCAGGGGAAGAUAAUGACGGUACCCUGUGAGGAAGCCCCGGCUAACUACGUGCCAGCAGCCGCGGUAAUACGUAGGGGGCUAGCGUUAUCCGGAUUUACUGGGCGUAAAGGGUGCGUAGGUGGUCCUUCAAGUCGGUGGUUAAAGGCUACGGCUCAACCGUAGUAAGCCGCCGAAACUGGAGGACUUGAGUGCAGGAGAGGAAAGUGGAAUUCCCAGUGUAGCGGUGAAAUGCGUAGAUAUUGGGAGGAACACCAGUAGCGAAGGCGGCUUUCUGGACUGCAACUGACACUGAGGCACGAAAGCGUGGGUAGCAAACAGG